UGAACGCUGGCGGUAUGCUUAACACAUGCAAGUCGAACGGAAACGAUACUAGCUUGCUAGUAGGCGUCGAGUGGCGGACGGGUGAGUAACGCGUAGGAAUCUGCCUGAUAGUGGGGGAUAGCCCGAAGAAAUUCGGAUUAAUACCGCAUAAUCUAUUCGUAGUAAAGUGGGGGACUUUCGAGCCUCACGCUAUCAGAUGAGCCUGCGUAAGAUUAGCUUGUUGGUAGGGUAAAAGCCUACCAAGGCGACGAUCUUUAGCUGGUCUGAGAGGAUGAUCAGCCACAUCGGGACUGAGACACGGCCCGAACUCCUACGGGAGGCAGCAGUGGGGAAUAUUGGACAAUGGGGGCAACCCUGAUCCAGCAAUACCGCGUGUGUGAAGAAGGCCUGAGGGUUGUAAAGCACUUUCAAUUGUGAAGAAAAGUUAGCGGUUAAUAACCGUUAGCCUUGACGUUAACUUUAGAAGAAGCACCGGCUAACUCCGUGCCAGCAGCCGCGGUAAUACGGAGGGUGCAAGCGUUAAUCGGAAUUACUGGGCGUAAAGCGUGCGUAGGCGGUUUAUUAAGUCAGAUGUGAAAGCCCCGGGGCUUAACCUGGGAACUGCAUUUGAAACUGGUCAACUAGAGUAUGGUAGAGGAAAGUGGAAUUUCUGGUGUAGCGGUGAAAUGCGUAGAUAUCAGAAGGAACAUCAAUGGCGAAAGGCAGCUUUCUGGACCAAUACUGACGCUGAGGUACGAAAGCGUGGGUAGCAAACAGGAUUAGAUACCCUGGUAGUCCACGCCGUAAACGAUGAUAACUAGCCGUUGGGGGGAUUUACCCUUUAGUGGCGAAGCUAACGCGUUAAGUUAUCCGCCUGGGGAGUACGGCCGCAAGGUUAAAACUCAAAGGAAUUGACGGGGACCCGCACAAGCGGUGGAGCAUGUGGUUUAAUUCGAUGCAACGCGAAGAACCUUACCUGGUCUUGACAUCCUGCGAACUUUCUAGAAAUAGAUUGGUGCCUUCGGGAACGCAGUGACAGGUGCUGCAUGGCUGUCGUCAGCUCGUGUCGUGAGAUGUUGGGUUAAGUCCCGUAACGAGCGCAACCCCUAUCCUUAUUUGCCAGCACAUCAUGGUGGGAACUAUAAGGAGACUGCCGGUGAUAAACCGGAGGAAGGCGGGGACGACGUCAAGUCAUCAUGGCCCUUACGACCAGGGCUACACACGUGCUACAAUGGGAAGGACAAAGAGCCGCGAAGCCGCGAGGUGUAGCUAAUCUCAUAAACCUUUUCGUAGUCCGGAUUGGAGUCUGCAACUCGACUCCAUGAAGUCGGAAUCGCUAGUAAUCGUAGAUCAGAAUGCUACGGUGAAUACGUUCCCGGGUCUUGUACACACCGCC
rnacentral:rRNA from 1 species